CAUUAUUCCACGGAGUAUAUGUUCAUCUGAAACUCUUUUGUGACAAUAAAAAAAAAAACCCUCAACACAAGCAGUGUAAUGUCUAGUACGUUUACAUUAAGACCAAAUGCUACUGUUCAUUUAGAGCAAGGAUCUUAUUAGUGUGCCAUCAGUUUAAUGUAUAGAGGCUAGAAUGAACCUUGGAGUUGCUCUGUUUUGAUUACUGAAAGCUAUAGUCUUAAAGUCUCUCUGCUUACUGAGACAACUCUGAGAUUCAUAGUGGUGAUUAAUACUAUAGCUAUAAAUGCUCACCAUCAACACCCUGAAAUGUUUUCAAAACAUAUGGAGGGGUUUUUAACAGCUUAACCUAAACAGCAGUGAAACAGAUGAAAACCUACACAAGAUGUAUCUGCAACAGUGCUUACUAUCUCUUUGAAAUUGUACCUGCUGUGAGGGUUCUUAGUCUUUUGUACAAAUAGCGAUGUCCUUCAAGAGACUGCAGCCAAUAAUUACAAAUUCUGUGUAAUGCAAGGGAAGCAAUGAAAGGAAGAUGGAUUGCAAAGGUCCAGCUAGCUCUGCUGAGGGGACCUGGGGCUGUGGGGUGACUCCACUGGCCCUGUGAGGCUGGCACAAAGUCCUGCCUGAUAAGCCACGCUAAACCUUCUUUAGCUCUUCCUGGAGCUGCUUGGCAUGUACAGCAACAUCUUCCCAAACAUUUCCCAGGCACAGGCCAGACGCGUUUGAUGUGGAUGCGUGUAUCUGCAGGCCUUGUUACUCUAGGCCUGGGGCUGUAACACCGCAGGUGUGUGGCUUUUUGUUCUGUGCUGGCCUUGGAAAUAUAUAGCAGCCAUUUGGCACGUCACGUAAAUAUAGGUAUCAGUGGAUUGGUGAAGUACCUCAAAAAAAAAAAAAAAGGUAGUUUUCUUAUUUUCUGAGCAAUUAAGCAACAAAACAAAUGGGAAUUAACAGUCUGAACAUAAAUGGGAUGUUGACUUAAUGGGAAAAAUUCAGGAAAUGCAGUUUCUCUGUCCUACAGUGUAUUUGUGCUGUUGUCAUAAUGUGUAUAUCAUAUAUAUCAUUGUUUGUGAAAGCUGGUGAGAAAUACUUCUGGGAAGGGUUCAUAGUGCUGAGCUCUCUACAGCUGUGGUGUAGUUGGUUAGUUCUGAGCUGGACCACUUUAGACUUACCGUGAUAAAGAAGGAGAGGUACAUUCAUGAGGCAAUUUGUGUGAUUAAUUUUAGGUAUGUAUUUAGGGAAGGGGUGAAUUGUCCCCAGCUGCCAUACUUAUUCUUCUUUAUCUCCAGAAGUCGCUGUAGGAUAACUAGUUCAGAUGUGGGUAUCUUGGCUUAGAAGUCCGUAUGUGGUCAGAUGAAUGUAAUCUUUUGCUCUUAAAGGAGAAUAUUGAAAAGGUAGAAGACUUUGAACCACACGAGGUGAGAGAUGAAACGUGAACAGGAGAAAGUGGAGCACUUUGGAACAGCUCACAGAAAUCUUACUAGUUGCUGGAGGAUCCACAAUCAAGGGAAAUAUCAAAGAUAAAAAAAGGCUGAGAAUAGAAGCUGCUAUUAAAAAUACUGUCUUUUCCUUCCUCCUACCACCAGAAAUCCCUAAAUAGAUAGCUGACAGCAUUUAUUCCAUGAAUAUAAAUUAGCAGAUAAUUAAGCAUUGUAUAAAAAUAGUAAGAAAAUGACAUGAGUGGAAGGAGGACAGCUGGACAGUUUGGGAAAGUAAGAUUUUAUUAGAAAGAAAAAUAGCUUUAAUCUUGGUGCUCCGUGACC
ensembl:lncRNA